GGUACCCGUUGACCCCAUUCGUGAUGGGGAUCGGGGAUUGCAAUUAUUCCCCAUGAACGAGGAAUUCCCAGUAAGUGCGGGUCAUAAGCUUGCGUUGAUUAAGUCCCUGCCCUUUGUACACACCGCCCGUCGCUACUACCGAUUGGAUGGUUUAGUGAGGCCCUCGGAUCGGCCCCGCCGGGGUCGGCCCACGGCCCUGGCGGAGCGCUGAGAAGACGGUCGAACUUGACUAUCUAGAGGAAGUAAAAGUCGUAACAAGGUAACC
rnacentral:rRNA from 1 species